rnacentral:rRNA from 1 species
GAUGAACGCUGGCGGCGUGCUUAACACAUGCAAGUCGAACGAUGAAGCCCGGCUUGCUGGGUGGAUUAGUGGCGAACGGGUGAGUAACACGUGAGCAACCUGCCCCUGACUCUGGGAUAAGCGCUGGAAACGGCGUCUAAUACUGGAUAUGUCCCGUCACCGCAUGGUGUGCGGGUGGAAAGAUUUUUCGGUUGGGGAUGGGCUCGCGGCCUAUCAGCUUGUUGGUGAGGUAAUGGCUCACCAAGGCGUCGACGGGUAGCCGGCCUGAGAGGGUGACCGGCCACACUGGGACUGAGACACGGCCCAGACUCCUACGGGAGGCAGCAGUGGGGAAUAUUGCACAAUGGGCGGAAGCCUGAUGCAGCAACGCCGCGUGAGGGAUGACGGCCUUCGGGUUGUAAACCUCUUUUAGCAGGGAAGAAGCGAAAGUGACGGUACCUGCAGAAAAAGCACCGGCUAACUACGUG